rnacentral:rRNA from 1 species
GACGAACGCUGGCGGCGUGCUUAACACAUGCAAGUCGAACGGAAAGGCCCUGCUUUUGUGGGGUGCUCGAGUGGCGAACGGGUGAGUAACACGUGAGUAACCUGCCCUUGACUUUGGGAUAACUUCAGGAAACUGGGGCUAAUACCGGAUAGGAGCUCCUGCUGCAUGGUGGGGGUUGGAAAGUUUCGGCGGUUGGGGAUGGACUCGCGGCUUAUCAGCUUGUUGGUGGGGUAGUGGCUUACCAAGGCUUUGACGGGUAGCCGGCCUGAGAGGGUGACCGGCCACAUUGGGACUGAGAUACGGCCCAGACUCCUACGGGAGGCAGCAGUGGGGAAUAUUGCACAAUGGGCGGAAGCCUGAUGCAGCAACGCCGCGUGCGGGAUGAAGGCCUUCGGGUUGUAAACCGCUUUCGCCUGUGACGAAGCGUGAGUGACGGUAAUGGGUAAAGAGGCACCGGCUAACUACGUG